rnacentral:rRNA from 1 species
CUACGGGAUGCAGCAGUGGGGAAUAUUGCACAAUGGGGGAAACCCUGAUGCAGCCAUACCGCGUGUGUGAAGAAGGCCCGAGGGUUGUAAAGCACUUUCAAUUGUGAGGAAGGGUAAGUAGUUAAUACCUGCUUAUCUUGACGUUAACUUUAGAAGAAGCACCGGCUAACUCUGUGCCAGCAGCCGCGGUAAUACAGAGGGUGCAAGCGUUAUUCGGAAUUACUGGGCGUAAAGCGCGCGUAGGCGGAAUAUUAAGUCAGUUGUGAAAGCCCCGGGCUCAACCUGGGAACGGCUUCUGAUACUGGUAUUCUAGAGUUUAGUAGAGGGGAGGGGAAUUCCUAGUGUAGCAGUGAAAUGCGUAGAUAUUAGGAGGAACAUCAGUGGCGAAGGCGCCUUCCUGGACUAAAACUGACGCUGAGGUGCGAAAGCGUGGGUAGCGAACAGGAUUAGAUACCCGAGUAGUC